rnacentral:misc_RNA from 1 species
AACUUUUGGCAACGGAUCUCUUGGCUCUCGCAUCGAUGAAGAACGCAGCGAAUUGCGAUACGUAGUGUGAAUUGCAGAAUUCAGUGAAUCAUCGAAUCUUUGAACGCACCUUGCACCCUCUGGCAUUCCGGAGGGUAUGCCUGUCUGAGUGUCGUGAACGACCUCCUGCACAUUUGUGUCCACUUGUGUCCACAAGUGCGGGGUGUUGGGCGCUGCGGGUCCCCGGACCGGCUCGCCUGAAAUGCAGUGGUGGUGCCGAGGAGGCCCCGAUGCGCCGCUCGAAACGUAAUAACAUUCCGUCGAGAGCGGGCGGCAGCAGGGGCGGGCUCAGCGCGCUGCCUUACAGGGAUGCGGGGCAACCCCGAUCCGUCUACCACACACCGACCUCAGAUCAGGUAGGACUACCCGCUGAACUUAAGCAUAUCAAUAAGCGGAGGCU